GACGAACGCUGGCGGCGUGCCUAAUACAUGCAAGUAGAACGCUGAAGAGAGGAGCUUACUCUUCUUGGAUGAGUUGCGAACGGGUGAGUAACGCGUAGGUAACCUGCCUUGUAGCGGGGGAUAACUAUUGGAAACGAUAGCUAAUACCGCAUAACAAUGGAUGACACAUGUCAUUUAUUUGAAAGGGGCAAUUGCUCCACUACAAGAUGGACCUGCGUUGUAUUAGCUAGUAGGUGAGGUAAUGGCUCACCUAGGCGACGAUACAUAGCCGACCUGAGAGGGUGAUCGGCCACACUGGGACUGAGACACGGCCCAGACUCCUACGGGAGGCAGCAGUAGGGAAUCUUCGGCAAUGGGGGAAACCCUGACCGAGCAACGCCGCGUGAGUGAAGAAGGUUUUCGGAUCGUAAAGCUCUGUUGUAAGUCAAGAACGGGUGUGAGAGUGGAAAGUUCACACUGUGACGGUAGCUUACCAGAAAGAGACGGCUAACUACGUG
rnacentral:rRNA from 1 species